AUCCGGAUGGCUUAGUGGUCAGAGCCUCUGCUUAGUAAGCAGGAGACCUGGGUUUGAAUCCCCGUCUGGGUA